rnacentral:rRNA from 1 species
GACGAACGCUGGCGGCGUGCUUAACACAUGCAAGUCGAACGGAAAGGCCCUGCUUUUGUGGGGUGCUCGAGUGGCGAACGGGUGAGUAACACGUGAGUAACCUGCCCUUGACUUUGGGAUAACUUCAGGAAACUGGGGCUAAUACCGGAUAGGAGCUCCUGCUGCAUGGUGGGGGUUGGAAAGUUUCGGCGGUUGGGGAUGGACUCGCGGCUUAUCAGCUUGUUGGUGGGGUAGUGGCUUACCAAGGCUUUGACGGGUAGCCGGCCUGGGAGGGUGACCGGGCACAUUGGGACUGCGAUACGGCCCAGACUCCUACGGGGGGCAGCAGUGGGGAGUAUUGCACAGUGAGCGGAAGCCUGAUGCAGCGACGCCGCGUGCGGGAUGACGGCCUUCGGGUUGUAAACCGCAUUCGCCUGUGACGAAGCGUGAUUGACGGUAAUGGGUAAAGAAGCACCGGCUAACUACGUG